UGAUUAAAUGUGUGUUUUUCAUAGUUUUGAUGUCUUCUACAAUGUAGAAAAUAGUAAAAAAUUAAGAAAAACCCUUGAAUGAGUAGGUGUGUCCAAACUUUUGACCAGUAGUGUACAGGCUACUACAGACUAUUGCAGGUUACUACAGGCUACUACAGACUACUACAGGCUACUACAGACUACUACAGGCUACUACAGACUACUACAGGCUACUACAGACUACUACAGGCUACUACAGACUAUUGCAGGUUACUACAGACUACUAUAGGCUAUUACAGGCGAUUACAGACUACUACAGGCUACUACAGACUACUACAGGCUACUACAGACUAUUGCAGGUUACUACAGACUACUAUAGGCUAUUACAGGCGAUUACAGACUACUACAGGCUACUACAGGAUAUGACAGGCUACUACAGGCUACUACAGACUAUAAAAAUACUAUUACAGGCUACUACAGACUAUUACAGACUACUACAGGCUACUACAGACUACUACAGGCUACUACAAAAACAUGCUACUACAAAAACAUGCUACUACAGGCUACAGUAGCCUGCAGUAGCUAGUGCUGACAGAUAACAGCUACAGGCUACAGUAUAUAUCAAUCGAAAGCACACUGAGUGACCUGAAGUGUUCUGCUCUGAUCCUGAUGGGACCCAGGUCAACCCAUGUCAUCACACCAGGGCAGAGACAAAGUGACUGCUACAACUGCAGUACAAGACAACGCACGUCUUCAGAAGCUUAGGCAUCAUUCUUCCUCUUCCUAAAUGAACAAUGUAACUCCACUUUCAUAUGCUCUGCGCCACAUGGGACAGGUCAUCAGACAGACCAAGGCAGAGACUGACUGCUAGGACUACAGGACAAGACAGACCAAGGCAGAGACUGACUGCUAGGACUACAGGACAAGACAUACCAAGGCAGAGACUGACUGCUAGGACUACAGGACAAGACAUACCAAGGCAGAGACUGACUGCUAGGACUACAGGACAAGACAGACCAAGGCAGAGACUGACUGCUAGGACUACAGGACAUCAGACAGACCAAGGCAGAGACUGACUGCUAGGACUACAGGACAUCAGACAGACCAAGGCAGAGACUGACUGCUAGGACUACAGGACAAGACAAAAUGUACAACAGGAAACAAAUACCGUCUUAAAAAACAGAUCUUAUUGUUCUGUUAUGACUGCAGUCAGACAAAACUGUUCUUAAUUUUCUUCUCUGACUGUCCUUAUUCCUCCUCACUGACUGUCCUUAUCCCUCCUCUCUGACUGUCCUUAUCCUUCCUCUCUGACUGUCCUUAUUCCUCCUCCCUGACUGUCCUUAUUCCUCCUCUCUGGCUGUCCUUAUUCCCUCCUCCCUAACUGUCCUUAUUCCUCCUCUCUGACUGUCCUUAUUCCUCAUCUCUGACUGUCCUUAUUCCCUCCUCCCUAACUGUCCUUAUUCCUCCUCUCUGACUGUCCUUAUUCCCUCCUCCCUAACUGUCCUUAUUCCUCCUCUCUGACUGUCCUUAUUCCCUCCACCCUAACUGUCCUUAUUCCUCCUCCCUGACUGUCCUUAUUCCCUACUCCCUAACUGUCCUUAUUCCUCCUCUCUGACUGUCCUUAUUCCCUCCUCCCUAACUGUCCUUAUUCCUCCUCUCUGACUGUCCUUAUUCCCUCCUCCCUAACUGUCCUUAUUCCUCCUCUCUGACUGUCCUUAUUCCCUCCUCCCUAACUGUCCUUAUUCCUCCUCUCUGACUGUCCUUAUUCCCUCCUCCCUAAAUGUCCUUAUUCCUCCUCUCUGACUGUCCUUAUUCCCUCCACCCUAACUGUCCUUAUUCCUCCUCUCUGACUGUCCUUAUUCCCUCCUCCCUAACUGUCCUUAAUCCUCCUCUCUGACUGUCCUUAUUCCCUCCUCCCUAACUGUCCUUAUUCCUCCUCUCUGACUGUCCUUAUUCCCUCCUCCCUAACUGUCCUUAUUCCUCCUCUCUGACUGUCCUUAUUCCCUCCUCUCUGACUGUCCUUAUUCCCUCCUCCCUAACUGUCCUUAUUCCUCCUCUCUGACUGUCCUUAUUCCUCCUUCCUGACUGUUCUUCCUAUAUGCACAAUGUAUGGACCAAUCUCUCUUUGUUUCUCUGUCAUGUACCUAACUAUCUCUUUUUAAAGAAUGCGUUCUUUCUUUCUUUCCCUCCAUCUCUUUGGUUGUUGUUGUGGUUUAGUGGUACAAUAGUCUAGACCUGUGAUUCUUCCAUUGGUACUGUGGAGUGUUUCUGUAUUUUGUUUUCAUUUUUAUAUUAUUUUUUAAAUGCAAUAAUCUCCAUGAUGUAAAAAACAAUCCAACCUAGGCUACUUCUUCCUAAAUACAGCCUGCUCAGAUCCAAAAACGCCUAAUCAUUGUUAUGGGUUUAACAUAUUAUUUAGAUACAGUAUAUACAAUGAGUUGUAUGAUAAUGUACAUUUUUAUCAUAUUAGCAUAUUGGUUUUUUGUAUACACAUUUCAAGUAAAUCCUCGUUGUUAUUUCUCACUGUGUGUAAAUAAAUGUUGUUUAUCUAAAUAUACAGUA